rnacentral:rRNA from 1 species
UACGAAGGGGGCUAGCGUUGUUCGGAAUUACUGGGCGUAAAGCGCGUGUAGGCGGGUCUUUAAGUCGGGGGUGAAAUCCUGGAGCUCAACUCCAGAACUGCCUUCGAUACUGGGGAUCUAGAGUCCGGAAGAGGUGAGUGGAACUCCUAGUGUAGAGGUGGAAUUCGUAGAUAUUAGGAAGAACACCAGUGGCGAAGGCGGCUCACUGGUCCGGUACUGACGCUGAGGUGCGAAAGCGUGGGGAGCAAACAGG